rnacentral:rRNA from 1 species
UAGGGAAUCUUCGGCAAUGGACGAAAGUCUGACCGAGCAACGCCGCGUGAGUGAAGAAGGUCUUCGGAUCGUAAAACUCCGUUGUUAGAGAAGAACAAGGACGUUAGUAACUGAACGUCCCCUGACGGUAUCUAACCAGAAAGCCACGGCUAACUACGUGCCAGCAGCCGCGGUAAUACGUAGGUGGCAAGCGUUGUCCGGAUUUAUUGGGCGUAAAGCGAGCGCAGGCGGUUUCUUAAGUCUGAUGUGAAAGCCCCCGGCUCAACCGGAGAGGGUCAUUGGAAACUGGGAGACUUGAGUGCAGAAGAGGAGGGUGGAAUUCCCUGUGUAGCGGUGAAAUGCGUAGAUAUAUGGAGGAACACCAGUAGCGAAGGCGGCUCUCUAGUCUGUAACUGACGCUGAGGCUCGAAAGCGUGGGGAGCAAACAGG